rnacentral:rRNA from 1 species
CCUACGGGGGGCAGCAGUGAGGAAUAUUGGUCAAUGGACGAGAGUCUGAACCAGCCAAGUAGCGUGAAGGAUGACUGCCCUAUGGGUUGUAAACUUCUUUUAUACGGGAAUAAAGUGAGGCACGUGUGCCUUUUUGUAUGUACCGUAUGAAUAAGGAUCGGCUAACUCCGUGCCAGCAGCCGCGGUAAUACGGAGGAUUCAAGCGUUAUCCGGAUUUAUUGGGUUUAAAGGGUGCGUAGGCGGUUUGAUAAGUUAGAGGUGAAAUUUCGGGGCUCAACCCGGAGUGUGCCGUUGAAACUGGCGAGCUAGAGUACACAAGAGGCAGGCGGAAUGCGUGGUGUAGCGGUGAAAUGCAUAGAUAUCACGCAGAACCCCGAUUGCGAAGGCAGCCUGCUAGGGUGAAACAGACGCUGAGGCACGAAAG